rnacentral:piRNA from 1 species
UUGUAGGCACCUCCGGUGAAGGUUGAUGG